rnacentral:lncRNA from 1 species
UGUGAGACAGGAGAUCCAAGGCAGGUUUGCUGGAGAAAUGCAAACCAGUAUUGUAUGCGGUAUCCAUUUCUUUCUAAACUAUCAAUGUUGUUCAAGUUCAAAACGCAUAAGCCACUAGUAAUGGCUUAACAACUGAUGGUGGUGACUAUGGUAGUAGUGGUGGUGGUGGUGGUGAUGGUGAUGACAUAGAGUAUGGAAUGAGGUUUGGAUGCAGAGACAAGCAUCUGCACUUGCAGGCAAUCUCCUCGGCAGAGGAGAAGACAAAAGGGCAGGCAGUGGUGGACAGCUGAUAAUAGAGGCUACGGGGAGGCAAAGCUAGCAAAGCAUAUGGCAAACAUUGGGCUCGCCCUCCUCAAGAAUUGGGAAAGAAUGAAAGAAAGGAAAAUCUUUCUCAAAUAUAAUGAAGCAGGAGCGGUUUAAUGCAUUUUGGGGCCUAAGGCGAACUCACUAAGAGGGGUCUUUUUUUUUUCUGUCUUUGAGAUUUCUCUAUAGUGGGCCGGCUUAAGGCGAACUUACUAAGGAAGGUCUUUUUUCUUUCUGUUUUAA